rnacentral:rRNA from 1 species
UACGUAGGGUCCGAGCGUUGUCCGGAAUUACUGGGCGUAAAGAGCUCGUAGGUGGUUUGUCGCGUUGUUCGUGAAAACUCACAGCUCAACUGUGGGCGUGCGGGCGAUACGGGCAGACUAGAGUACUGCAGGGGAGACUGGAAUUCCUGGUGUAGCGGUGAAAUGCGCAGAUAUCAGGAGGAACACCGGUGGCGAAGGCGGUUCUCUGGGCAUUACCUGACGGCUGGAGGAGCGAAAGUGUACGGGGAGCGAACAGGA